rnacentral:misc_RNA from 1 species
ACACCUCAACUCUCAUGGUUUUGCCGUGAUGAGCUUGGACUUUGGGGGUCUUGCUGGCCUGCGGUCGGCUCCUCUCAAAUGAAUCAGCUUGCCAGUGUUUGGUGGCAUCACGGGUGUGAUAACUAUCUACGCUUGUGGUUUUCCACCAGGUAACCUUCAGUGAUGGGGGUUCGCUGGGGCUCAUAAACGUCCCUCGAGGACAGCCUUUGAAC